UGAGUGAGGAUGACGAAAAAAGAGAUCGAGUAUAGACAUUACUGGCUCGGCCAAGUAGUGGAGCAUCCUUUUGUCUCGUAGAUGCCUAAUGUGGCUGCAAAAAUCCGGCAAGCUAGCCAGAGUGCUUGUGGAAGGCCGAAAACAACGCCAGAACUAAGCAAAGAUGGCUAGGGCAUGGUAAAGAGGGGGUGGCCUUCGGCCAAAGCGCCAAAGAUAGGAAAAAAAGAUUUUCUCACUCUAAAAGCUUACUAUUGGUAUACGACUUAUUGUAACAACAUGCAAAUGGCCAUAGUUUUAUCAACUAUGUAUAUUUACGUUUGUCAAUGAUUGAGUUUCAAAGCAAAAUGAUAGAUAAUAUAGAAUUAUCUUGAUUAUUAUUUCGGUCAUUGUUGUGUUGGUAGUGGGGUAUAGAAGGAGAAAUCAUAGCUCUCAAGACGAGCACUCCAAAUCUAGCUCCCAUAUCGAGCACUCUAAACCGAACUCCCAUACCAAGCACUCUAAAUC
rnacentral:lncRNA from 1 species